ensembl:lncRNA
GCUAAAGGGAAUUGGGUAGAAAAAGCAGUGUGGGAAAAUGUGCAUUAGUCUUGGGGAAGAUACAAGUCUGUCUCAAUUCACCAGGCAUCUGUUGCAGGCUUAUAGCCAUAGCAAAAUUCACGGGUGGUAAAGUUAUUUUAUUCAAAACAGAUCUGUGUGUUUUCUUAAAUGGAGAUGUCUGUGUAUGCAAACAUUUUUGUCUUACUGCAUGUGUAGGCUCUGGGGGUGACUGGUGCUUAAGGGGGAGCGAGGCUUACGUUACAACAGUCACCACUGUCGAUUACUUUUUCGUAUCUAGGCAAUUUUUUUUCUCUUGCUUCAUUGCACAAAAGAGGAAAAAAAAUAUUGUGCAGAAAAGCUGGAGGGAUGAAACAUACAGUGCCAGUGUCCCUGUGCAAUCAUUUUUGCAAAGCUGUGAACUGAUUGCCUGGUAUGGUGUCCUCUGAAGCUCUGAAGGUGGAUUCUGAAUUGGAGAAGAUCUGUGUUGUGGUCAUCCUAACCUGGAUGAUUGUGUAUGUCAGAGGCUGUGUUGCCAUUCAGCAGAUGGAUUGGAGAGCCGGGCAGAGAGGAAAUCGAUGAGGUUCAGCAGGGUGAGGUGCAGAGUCCUACACCGAGGAUGGAAUAACUGCAUGCAUCAGUACAGGUUAUGGGCUGACCUGCUGGAGAGGAGCUCUGCAGAGAAGAACCUGAGUGUCCUGGUGGAUGACAGGUUGUGGAAGGGUCAGGAAGUUCCAGCAACACAAACCUGAACGAGGAUGUGCUGUAGGAUGCACCACCCAUCUGCAUGCUGAACAUAAUGAUGCCAGAAGUACUGCUAAAGGCAUGGACAAGAAUUGGGAUCUGAAGUUGGACUGGAAGCCACCAGAGUGAAUUCUUCUGAAGUUCUAUGUGACAUAGAGCUAUGAGCGCUAGGCUAGUUCAUGAGAGGGGGAGUUUAUGACAGCAGAGAAGCCU